rnacentral:tRNA from 1 species
GGCCCAAUGGUCUAGUAGUAUGAUAUUCCCUUCGGGUGUUCGCCAUCCGCUCUGGUCGUCAGAGUUUGAAUUGGGAGUGGUCGGGAGUUCAAUUCUCUCUUGGGCCC